UGCAAGUCGAGCGAACAGAUAAGGAGCUUGCUCCUUUGACGUUAGCGGCGGACGGGUGAGUAACACGUGGGUAACCUACCUAUAAGACUGGGAUAACUUCGGGAAACCGGAGCUAAUACCGGAUAACAUUUGGAACCGCAUGGUUCUAAAGUGAAAGAUGGUUUUGCUAUCACUUAUAGAUGGACCCGCGCCGUAUUAGCUAGUUGGUAAGGUAACGGCUUACCAAGGCAACGAUACGUAGCCGACCUGAGAGGGUGAUCGGCCACACUGGAACUGAGACACGGUCCAGACUCCUACGGGAGGCAGCAGUAGGGAAUCUUCCGCAAUGGGCGAAAGCCUGACGGAGCAACGCCGCGUGAGUGAUGAAGGGUUUCGGCUCGUAAAACUCUGUUAUUAGGGAAGAACAAAUGUGUAAGUAACUGUGCACAUCUUGACGGUACCUAAUCAGAAAGCCACGGCUAACUACGUGCCAGCAGCCGCGGUAAUACGUAGGUGGCAAGCGUUAUCCGGAAUUAUUGGGCGUAAAGCGCGCGUAGGCGGUUUCUUAAGUCUGAUGUGAAAGCCCACGGCUCAACCGUGGAGGGUCAUUGGAAACUGGGAAACUUGAGUGCAGAAGAGGAAAGUGGAAUUCCAUGUGUAGCGGUGAAAUGCGCAGAGAUAUGGAGGAACACCAGUGGCGAAGGCGACUUUCUGGUCUGUAACUGACGCUGAUGUGCGAAAGCGUGGGGAUCAAACAGGAUUAGAUACCCUGGUAGUCCACGCCGUAAACGAUGAGUGCUAAGUGUUAGGGGGUUUCCGCCCCUUAGUGCUGCAGCUAACGCAUUAAGCACUCCGCCUGGGGAGUACGACCGCAAGGUUGAAACUCAAAGGAAUUGACGGGGACCCGCACAAGCGGUGGAGCAUGUGGUUUAAUUCGAAGCAACGCGAAGAACCUUACCAAAUCUUGACAUCCUUUGAAAACUCUAGAGAUAGAGCCUUCCCCUUCGGGGGACAAAGUGACAGGUGGUGCAUGGUUGUCGUCAGCUCGUGUCGUGAGAUGUUGGGUUAAGUCCCGCAACGAGCGCAACCCUUAAGCUUAGUUGCCAUCAUUAAGUUGGGCACUCUAGGUUGACUGCCGGUGACAAACCGGAGGAAGGUGGGGAUGACGUCAAAUCAUCAUGCCCCUUAUGAUUUGGGCUACACACGUGCUACAAUGGACAAUACAAAGGGCAGCUAAACCGCGAGGUCAUGCAAAUCCCAUAAAGUUGUUCUCAGUUCGGAUUGUAGUCUGCAACUCGACUACAUGAAGCUGGAAUCGCUAGUAAUCGUAGAUCAGCAUGCUACGGUGAAUACGUUCCCGGGUCUUGUACACACCGCCCGUCACACCACGAGAGUUUGUAACACCCGAAGCCGGUGGAGUAACCAUUUAUGGAGCUAGCCGUCGAA
rnacentral:rRNA from 1 species